UACGGGGGGGGCAAGCGUUGUUCGGAAUUACUGGGCGUAAAGGGCUCGUAGGCGGCCAACUAAGUCAGACGUGAAAUCCCUCGGCUUAACCGGGGAACUGCGUCUGAUACUGGAUGGCUUGAGUUUGGGAGAGGGAUGCGGAAUUCCAGGUGUAGCGGUGAAAUGCGUAGAUAUCUGGAGGAACACCGGUGGCGAAGGCGGCAUCCUGGACCGACACUGACGCUGAGGAGCGAGAGCCAGGGGAGCAAACGGG
rnacentral:rRNA from 1 species